rnacentral:rRNA from 1 species
UGGGGAAUAUUGCACAAUGGGCGCAAGCCUGAUGCAGCCAUGCCGCGUGUGUGAAGAAGGCCUUCGGGUUGUAAAGCACUUUCAGCGAGGAGGAAGGUGGUGAACUUAAUACGUUCAUCAAUUGACGUUACUCGCAGAAGAAGCACCGGCUAACUCCGUGCCAGCAGCCGCGGUAAUACGGAGGGUGCAAGCGUUAAUCGGAAUUACUGGGCGUAAAGCGCACGCAGGCGGUUUGUUAAGUCAGAUGUGAAAUCCCCGGGCUCAACCUGGGAACUGCAUUUGAAACUGGCAAGCUAGAGUCUCGUAGAGGGGGGCUAGAAUUCCAGGUGUAGCGGUGAAAUGCGUAGAGAUCUGGAGGAAUACCGGUGGCGAAGGCGGCCCCCCUGGACGAAGACUGACGCUCAGGUGCGAAAGCGUGGGGCAGCAAACAGGAUUAGAUACCCUGGUAGUCCACGCUGUAAACGAUGUCGAUUUUGGAGGUUGUG